rnacentral:rRNA from 1 species
GACGAACGCUGGCGGCGUGCUUAACACAUGCAAGUCGAACGGAAAGGCCCUGCUUUUGUGGGGUGCUCGAGUGGCGAACGGGUGAGUAACACGUGAGUAACCUGCCCCUGACUUUGGGGUAACUUCAGGAAACUGGGGCUAAUACCGGAUCGUAGCUCCUGCUGCAUGGUGGGGGUUGGAAAGUUUCGGCGGGUUGGGAUGGACUCGCGGCUUAUCAGCUUGUUGGGGGGGUAGUGGCUUACCAAGGCUUUGGCGGGUCGCCGACAUGGGAGGGGGGACGGGCACAAGGGGACUGAGGGACGCACCAGAGUGCAACGGUGGGCAGCAGGGGGGAAUAUGGUACAAUGGGCGGAAGCCUGAUGAGGAAGCGCUGCGGGCGUGAUGACGGCCUUCGGGGUGGAAACCGCUUUCGCCUGUGACGAAGAGUGAGUGACGGUAAUGGGAGAAGAAGCACCGGCUAACUACGUG